UGUUUAGCCUCAAGAAUGGAAAUUGUCAUAAAUAAAUGGUUGUUUUAUAUUUUAAAAUAUCAAAUAUAUGGUAGAAAUCACUUUAACAAUCUACUCAAACCGUUUCAUUUCCAUAUCAAAUAAGUAACUAUGCCUGAGAUUGAAACAUUUAAAGUUCAAGAAAACCAUAUAAAUAUUUUGUAUGCAUUAAUUUCAGUUGCUUUUUCAUGGAGUGUUGGUUGGUUUGGAUUUAGCUGGUCGUGGGUUAUUGGAUUUUUCAUUUUUGUUUUAUUGUGGAAAAAUAAUCUGAGGGAGAAAAAUCUGUGUUAUGCUCUCAUGCAAAUUAUCUAUAACAACAAUAAUAAAGAUAUUCAAAAAAAUGAUCAAGAUCUAAUCAACAAAAACAAAAUAAGAAGUGCACCUUCGUGGGCAUUUUUUCCAGAUGUUGAAAGAGCAGAAUGGCUGAAUCAGAUGAUAAAACAGUUCUGGCCUUUUAUUUCAAAAAUAAUGGAAGAUUUUUUAAAGACAAAAGUAGAACCUGAUAUGAAAAUGAAACUUCCAUCAACAAUCAAGUCUCUUAAAUUCAGUAAAACUGAUUUGGGAAACAGACCAAUCAGACUUGGAGGUAUAAAGGUAUACUCAGAACAUGUACCUCCAAAUCAAAUUAUUGCUGAUAUGGAAUUAAUAUAUGCUGGGGAUGCGUUGAUAGAACUGGCACUGGACAAUGGUAUUUCUGGUGGUAUAUCAGAUAUUCAGAUUCAUGGAACAAUGCGUAUUGAAAUAACUCCUUUACUGUCAAAACUCCCAUUGAUUGGUGGAAUUUCAUUAUAUUUUAUUGAGACUCCAGAGUUAAAUUACAAUUUUACCAAUUUGUUAAAUAUUCUUGAUGUACCUGGAAUCAGCCAAAUUGUUAAUAGUUUACUAAAAGAAGCUUUGGAAAGUUUUGUUGUUUUUCCUAAUCGUGUAAAGAUUCCGAUUGGCAAUCCAACAGAUAUUGAAACUUUCAGGUUUUAUUAUCCAAAGGGAGUAUUAAAGAUUGACAUUUUGGAAGCAAAGAAUCUUAUUGGGAAAGACACAAAUUUAUUUAAAGAUAAAACAUCUGAUCCAUAUGUUCUCACAAAGGUGGGAUCAAAAGUUGUUCAUAAAACUCCUGUAAUACAAAAAUCUCUCAAUCCAAAAUGGAACAAAGAAUCAGUUUCGAUAUUCAUUCAAAUUGUAAUUGGAAAAAAAAUAAAAUUUGAGCUAUAUGAUUCUGACGCCAUAAAAGAUGAUGAGAUAGGAAGUACAUCUUUAAGCUUAGAAAAAGUAGUUGGUUCUAGCUUUACUGAUCUGUGGCUUUCUCUCGAUAAUUCUACAACAAGUGCACUUCAUAUUAAUUGUGGUUGGUUUAAUUUGAGUAACAAUGUUGACGAUUUAAAAAAACAAGAAGAAUGUUGUUUGGUGGUUCUACUUGAUCAUGCCAUGAAUUUAAAUGUUGCAAACAAAAAUAGCGCUAGUGCAUAUGUGGAAAUAACAGUGAACAACACAACUCUUAAAUCAAAGACUCAACGCAAUACAAAUCAUCCAGUGUGGGAGGAGACGUUUUCAUUUUUUCUCGGCAAUGUUUUCAAGGAUAUUGUCAAACUCAGAGUUUUUGAUGAGAACGAAAACAAACCUCUUGGAAAGAUUGAUUUUGCUGUUUCUGCACUUACAGAUCUCCCUGACAUGCGUCUGAAACAAAACUUUACGCUAAAGAACUCUUUUGAAAAUUCACAGAUAUUUAUGUCUCUUGAGUUGAAGGCAUUGGUUCCUCCAGUUUCUUCAAAAUAAGCAAAAUCGUUUAACCAAGAUUUAUAUAGUUAUCAAUUUAUGGUUAUUAAACUUUUUUAGUAAUUAGAAGUUUAACCUUUCGAUAGAAAAUUUUUGUUAUUAGAAUCAUUUAGAAUCUAUUUAAACUUAAUUGUUUGCAAUCGUUGUGCUUUUUCAUCCAAUCGUUGUGCUUUUUCAUCCAAUCGUUGUGCUUUUUCGAGUUCUUUAGAAGUUUUUCAGAUUACGAUUAGUUUUUAUCCGAUAACGUUUUUAUUAUAGUAUUUUAUUUUUGGGGUGUUUUUUGGUGUAUAACCUUUGUUAAAUGCAAGGAGUUACAGAGGAAGGUGAAAAAACAGUCUACUUAAAAAAUAGUUUGUUAAGCUAUCUAGAAAAAUGUUUCUGAAAAUGAAGUUUUUUUUUAUUCAAAAUUUA
rnacentral:misc_RNA from 1 species